GCACUCGGCCGAUCUUUUCACGUGAUUCUGAGGCAGUGUAGUUAGCUAGUUGUUUUCUUGCCGAGAUGGACUUGCAUCCCGAACGGUUUAUUUCGAACAACUGCUUUUUGCACUACCACGGAAAUCACUUGACUGUUCAACGGCCGGGGA
rnacentral:pre_miRNA from 10 species